CUGGAAGGCAGGGAGGGUUGGGGCAGAGCGUCCACGGAACACACAUCCCUGCGGCUCCACAGUGGGCCUCCUACCAACCUGCUGGGGCUGGUCUAGACAGCUGUGGCUGGAAAGGCAGGCAUUUGUCCUGCAGGGUGCCAUUCAGCUCUGUACUCCCAAUGCUUGGCACAGCGUAAGUAUUAAAGCAAUACUUCUUGAAUGAAUGAAUCACACUUCAUGGACUAGCGGCCUUAGCCAGAAAAAAGUCCUUAGUGAAGCAAAGAAUAGCUCUGGUAGUAGGGCCACAGGGUGUAGACUUACCAUUGUUUUUCUGUCUCCACGGACAUUGGCUGGAGCUUGGCGGUGAUGUGUGUUUGUGUGUGGAAGGCAAUACUUUGUUUGCCCUCGCAGCCAGCAAUUCUGUGAGCGCCACGGCACUCCUUGCUUUGCCGCCAAGUCACCAUAGAUAUCAGUGACCCAAUAGAGAUGAAUGUUUGGAGCUCACAGUUCCACCCACUACCUGUCAACAUGCUGAAGGCAUAGCCCCCAAAGUCACAGAAGUGUCCCGUGUCACUGUGUGCACUUUUCCAGCUGACAUCUUAAAGCGUCAACACUUGGAGAAAAACACUAACAAGGUGGAAUCACUGACUUUGCACAACUUGGGGACAGUACGUUUAUCAUGUGGACUCCAUUGGCUGACAGCGACUUGACUUUGCCAAUUCUGUACCUACACGGGUAACUGCCUCUGGGGGUGGCAACUUGCUGACUGAUGUAAAUAGGGAGGAGUGGAAAUGUGAGAGGAUAAAAAUUCUUGCAGAUAGUACACAGAGAUUUUAAAGAGCCACAGAGUCUCCAUAUGAUGUGACGAAAUGCCACUGUGUGCCUGGGAGGUUGAGUGUAGGGGCAAGAUUAUUACUGAGUUAGGGGGUGGAUUAAGCUGUAGUUAUCAGACCUGUUUGACAAUCUGGGAGACAGGAACAUGCUUUUAAGCAUAACCUAUAGUCAUCUAAAUGACUCAUACUGAGAACCAAUACUAUAUUAUUUAUUUAUACUCGUGUUGACUCCCAUAGGAGUCAGGGCAGCUUACAUAAAAUACAGCAAGAAAGUUGUAAACUAGAAGGAGGUGAGCAGGAUAUUCCAAAAGGGAAGGUACAGGCAGGGGAAUCCAAAUGGAACAUUGCUGAAGCUAACACAAAACUCAACCUUGACACCGUAACACAUUCCCCGAGGGUGGGACUCCCUCCCGCAUCACAGUCAAAUGCAGUGUCUCUAACUGGGUCUGUGGUCUGAACUGAUGACAAAAACUCAGGGUGGAUGGGAGGAAACAUUCCCGUCUCCUUCAGUGACAAAGGAGAAGACAGCCACUUCCGGUCCAGCCUGUUCCCUGAUACACAGGAAACAGGUUGGGAAACAAUUUCUCUUGGUCCAUCCUGUUUUACCUGAUGGGCCCCUAUAUGUUGUAAGCUGCUGCCCUUGCAGCCUAGGUCAAUGGGUAAAUUCUUUGGAUAAUGAUAGCAAGGUCACAGGUUUAAAUCUCUACUCCAUGAUCACAGGCCCUCUCCCUGGACGGGUCCUAUGGCUCUGGUGUCAGCCCGACCCUUUGGUAAAAAAACAGCUGAAGUGGACAUCCCGCAGUGACCUGAGACCACUGUCCUGGUGGCACACUGGGAGCUAGAAGGAUGCCCUAUGUCCUGGCAUCCCAAAUAAGACUUACAUGCCCGGCUUGGCUCCGGCCAUCAAGACCAUGCGCAGAGCAAUGCGCUUAUGCAGGUUCCACUUCUCCACGGCAGCCGCCACGCAGAUGACCCCCACCAGCAGCAGCGUGGUGUUCUUGAAGUACUCCGCCGCCACCUGUAGGGAGGCCAGGCAUGUCAGUCACCCUCCCGGACCAAAGACCCAGGGCCCAGCACCAGCUGGGAGAAUGGGCCAUACCCAAUAAAACCUGUUCUCAAUCAAAGAGGCUGGCGAAGGGGAGGCAGGGGGGUGAGGAUUAUUGAAAUAGCCGCCCAUCCUAGAGUCACAUCUACUGAGCGUUCAUUGUGGGCAGGCACUGUGCUAAGUACUUGACAGAUUAUUUCAUUCAAUCUGGCCCAUAACUCUAUAGGAUAGAUGUUCUUCUCCACUUUGGAAAACAUAAAACCACUGUAUUUAAAUAUGAUGUGAAUAUGAUUUUAAAGAAUAAACACAUAUAAUUUUAUAUUGAUCUUUUAAAAUAACCCUAGGUUUCUCCCCAAACCUAAUUUUUAAUGUUUUUAGAAAAUAUUAGAAAAUUAUUUUCAUUUCAUUUCUAUUAGAAAAUUAAUACAUACUCAGUAUGGAAAACUUCAAAAUAUAAAAAAAGUUAAAGACAAAAUUACCCUUAAUCAUGCUACUGUAAAUACUUAUAGUUUCUUCCAUUUUUCCUAUACCUAUAUAGAUAAAUGCAUUUAUACAGUAUGUAUACUUUUAUAUCUUGCCUUUUUUUCAUUUAACAUCAUAUCCUCA
rnacentral:lncRNA from 1 species